AAAUUAAAAUGGCAUUUAUUCAAUUAAAAAUAGUAAAAUAAUGCAUUAAAUUUAAAUAUGUUUUGUCCAAAUCCUAAAAUCUCAUCAAAACACCAAAUAAAUGGCCAUGAGAUUUAUCAUAGGUCAAAAAAUGCAUUAAAUUUAAAUAUGUUUUGUCCAAAUCCUAAAAUCUCAUCAAAACACCAAAUAAAUGGCCAUGAGAUUUAUCAUAGGUCAAACAAGGUCAAAGGACCUUGGAGAAAAAA
rnacentral:lncRNA from 1 species